AGCGAACGCUGGCGGCAGGCUUAACACAUGCAAGUCGAGCGGACCUUUCGGGGUCAGCGGCGGACGGGUGAGUAACGCGUGGGAACGUGCCUUCCGGUUCGGAAUAACCCUGGGAAACUAGGGCUAAUACCGGAUACACCCUUAUGGGGAAAGGUUUACUGCCGGAAGAUCGGCCCGCGUCUGAUUAGCUAGUUGGUGGGGUAACGGCCUACCAAGGCGACGAUCAGUAGCUGGUCUGAGAGGAUGAUCAGCCACACUGGGACUGAGACACGGCCCAGACUCCUACGGGAGGCAGCAGUGGGGAAUAUUGGACAAUGGGCGCAAGCCUGAUCCAGCCAUGCCGCGUGAGUGAUGAAGGCCUUAGGGUUGUAAAGCUCUUUUAUCCGGGACGAUAAUGACGGUACCGGAGGAAUAAGCCCCGGCUAACUUCGUG
rnacentral:rRNA from 1 species